rnacentral:rRNA from 1 species
AGUGAACGCUGGCGGCAGGCCUAACACAUGCAAGUCGAACGGCAGCACGGCAGUAGCAAUACUGUGGGUGGCGAGUGGCGGACGGGUGAGGAAUACAUCGGGAUCUACCCUGUUGUGGGGGAUAACGUAGGGAAACUUACGCUAAUACCGCAUAAGAACUGAGGUUGAAAGCGGCGGACCGCAAGGCGUCGCGCGAUUGGAUGAACCGAUGUCCGAUUAGCUAGUUGGCGGGGUAAAGGCCCACCAAGGCGACGAUCGGUAGCUGGUCUGAGAGGACGACCAGCCACACUGGAACUGAGACACGGUCCAGACUCCUACGGAGGCAGCAGUGGGGAAUAUUGGACAAUGGGCGCAAGCCUGAUCCAGCCAUGCCGCGUGGGUGAAGAAGGCC